rnacentral:rRNA from 1 species
AGUGAACGCUGGCGGUAGGCCUAACACAUGCAAGUCGAACGGCAGCACAGUAAGAGCUUGCUCUUACGGGUGGCGGGUGGCGGACGGGUGAGGCAUACAUCUGAAUCUACUUUUUCGUGGGGGAUAACGUAGGGACACUUACGCUACUACCUCAUACGUCCUACGGGUGGAAGCAGUGGAUCUUCGGACCUUGCGCGAUUCAAUGAGCCGAUGUCGGAUUAGCUAGUUGGCGGGGUAAAGGCCCACCAAGGCGACGCUCCGUAGCUGGUCUGAGAGGAUGAUCAGCCACACUGGAACUGAGACACGGUCCAGACUCCUACGGGAGGCAGCAGUGGGGAAUAUUGGACAAUGGGCGCAAGCCUGAUCCAGCCAUACCGCGUGGGUGAAGAAGGCCUUCGGGUUGUAAAGCCCUUUUGUUGGGAAAGAAAAGCAGCAGGUUAAUACCCCGCUGUUCUGACGGUACCCAAAGAAUAAGCACCGGCUAACUUCGUG